GGUUGUGUAGUGUAGUGGUCAUCACUCCGGAUUUUGAUCUAUGAUGUCAAAGCAUUCCGGCAACCCCGGUUCGAGCCCGGGCACGACCU